rnacentral:lncRNA from 1 species
UUUGCUAGAAGGCGGGACUCCCGCUUCACUUAGUGAAGCUUGAUUUGCCCAGAGGAGGGGCAAGAGAAACAGAAAGAGAAGCAGCCCAGAUGAGAGAAAAGGUGCUUUAACUUUGAUUGCUGCAGAUUUUCUUGGCGUUUAAGUGCUGAUGAAGCAGGCACAGGACAAGGUGUCAUCAGUUGGGAAACAUUUGAAUUUGUCUCUGCCUGGUGCCUAUUGACAUCUUAAAUUGGAACCACUUUAAAUUCAACGUAUGGCCACAGAUGUUUUGGACCACUUAUAUUAAAUAAGUCAGUCAAAACUGAAGAUCAGCUUUUGAUCAUGAAGAGGAGAUUAGGUCACAGAUGUUCAAUAAGGAAAGACCAUGUGAAGACACAAGAAGAUGGUCAUCUGCAAGCCAAGAGAAAUGUCUCAAAAGGAACUGGCCCUGCUGACAUCUUGACCUUGAAUUUCCAGCCUCAGGUUCUUGGAUGCUUGAUGGAAUUAAGGAUUUGAGAACAUGAGAACAAACAGGAAUAUGCAGGAAAUCUUGAGGACACAGGAGAUGAAGUCAACCUGUGGCCAAGGGAGAGGGAGGGACAUGAGAAGCUUUGUGAAAGAUGUCAGCGCAAACCUCAGGCAAGUGCCACCCAACCUAGAGCUGUGGAUUGAAGUUUGGCGUUGGGGUGUCAGCCUGUGAUUUCCUGAUCUCCAACUCCACUCCUCUUAAGUCACCCAGCCUAAGGCACUGAACCUCAUCAUCAGAACCUCAGAGUCCAACAUCUUGACCAUAGCCUUGCAACCCCACUGUUAGGUUGUCCUACUUGCUAGCCAUUCAUUAUAGCAAUGCCCCUAUUUCAAACAUGUCUAGAAGAACAGCAUUAGUGGGGAGGAGCCAAGAUGGCCGAAUAGGAACAGCUCCAGUCUACAGCUCCCAGCGUGAGCGAGGCAGAAGACAGGUGAUUUCUGCAUUUCCAUCUGAGGUACCGGGUUCAUCUCACUAGGGAGUGCCAGACAGUGGGCGCAGGCCAGUGGGUGCACGCACCAGGCGCGAGCCGAAGCAGGGCAAGGCAUUGCCUCACUUGGGAAGCGCAAGGGGUCAGGGAGUUCCCUUUCCGAGUCAAAGAAAGGGGUGACGGACGCACCUGGAAAAUCGGGUCACUCCCACCCGAAUAUUGUGCUUUUUGGACCGGCUUAAAAAACGGCCCACCACGAGAUUAUAUCCCGCACCUGGCUCGGAGGGUCCUACGCCCACGGAGUCUCGCUGAUUGCUAGCACAGCAGUCUGAGAUCAAAUUGCAAGGCGGCAGCUAGGCUGGGGGAGGGGCGCCCGCCAUUGCCCAGGCUUGCUUAGGUAAACAAAGCAGCAGGGAAGCUGGAACUGGGUGGAGCCCACCACAGCUCAAGGAGGCCUGCCUGCCUCUGUAGGCUCCGCCUCUGGGGGCAGGGCACAGACAAACAAAAAGACAGGAGUAACCUCUGCAGCCUUAAAUGUCCCUGUCUGACAGCUUUGAAGAGAGCAGUGGUUCUCCCAGCACGCAGCUGGAGAUCUGAGAACGGGCAGACUGCCUCCUCAAGUGGGUCCCUGACCCCUGACCCCCGA